rnacentral:rRNA from 1 species
GGGGGGGGGGGGGGGGGGGGGGGGGGGGGGGGGGGCGGGGGGAGGGGGGGGGAGCGUGGGGCGCGGCGGGGAGCGGCGGACGGGUGGGUAACGCGUGGAGAACCGACCUGUAGGACUGGGAUAACUGCGGGAAACCGGAGCUAAUACCGGAUAAUAUAUUGAACAGCGUGGUGCACUAGUGAAAGACGGGGUUGCUGUCCCUUCUAGGUGGAGGCGCGCUGCAUUAGCUAGUUGGGAAGGGGACGGCCUAACAUGGCGACGAUGCGCAGCCGACCUUAGAGUGUGAUCGCACACACUGGAAUUGAGGCACGGUCCAGGCUUCUACGGGAUGGCGCAGUCGGGAAUCUUCCGCAGUGGGCGAAGGCCUGAUGGAGCAACGCCGCGUGAGUGAUUAUGGUCUUCGUAUCGUAAAACGCUGUUAUUAGGGAAGACCAAAUUGUUAAGCAACUAUGCACUUCUUGACGGUACCUAAACAGAAAGCCCCGGCUAACUACGUG